GCCCUUCUUGGUCAUUUAGAGGAAGUAAAAGUCGUAACAAGGUUUCCGUAGGUGAACCUGCGGAAGGAUCAUUAAAGAAUUAACCCGUUUUUUGAAAUGGGUUCCAUUCCCAAACCGUGUAUACAUACCUUUGUUGCUUUGGCAGGCCGCCUUUUAGGCGUCGGCUCCGGCUGACUGCGCCUGCCAGAGGACCCAAACUCUUUUGUUUANUGAUGUCUGAGUACUAUAUAAUAGUUAAAACUUUCAACAACGGAUCUCUUGGUUCUGGCAUCGAUGAAGAACGCAGCGAAAUGCGAUAAGUAAUGUGAAUUGCAGAAUUCAGUGAAUCAUCAAAUCUUUGAACGCACAUUGCGCCCCUUGGUAUUCCGAGGGGCAUGCCUGUUCGAGCGUCAUUAUAACCACUCAAGCCUCGGCUUGGUCUUGGGGUUCGCGGUCUCGCGGCCCUUAAAAUCAGUGGCGGUGCCGUCUGGCUCUAAGCGUAGUAAUUCUCUCGCUAUAGGGUCCAGGUGGCCACCUGCCAGAACUCCCCAUUCUUUACGGUGACCUCGGAUCAGGUAGGGAUUC
rnacentral:rRNA from 1 species